rnacentral:rRNA from 1 species
CCUACGGGUGGCAGCAGUGGGGGAUAUUGCACAAUGGGGGGAACCCUGAUGCAGCGACGCCGCGUGAGUGAAGAAGUACUUCGGUAUGUAAAGCUCUAUUAGCAGGGAAGAAAAUGACGGUACCUGACUAAGAAGCCCCGGCUAACUACGUGCCAGCAGCCGCGGUAAUACGUAGGGGGCCAGCGUUAUCCGGAUUUACUGGGUGUAAAGGGAGCGUAGACGGCGGGGCAAGUCUGGAGUGAAAUCCCAGGGCUUAACCAUGGAACUGCUUUGGAAACUGGCAGGCUGGAGUGCAGGAGAGGUAAGCGGAAUUCCUAGUGUAGCGGUGAAAUGCGUAGAUAUUAGGAGGAACACCGGUGGCGAAGGCGGCUUACUGGACUGUAACUGACGUUGAGGCUCGAAAGCGUGGGGAGCAAACAGGAUUAGAUACCCCAGUAGUC